GAGCAUUCAAAUGACAUAAUCAAAACACAAUGAUCAAAUGUGAAUCAAAAUCAACAUUAACCAAUGGUAAAUGUAAUACCCCAAAACUUACCCUUCAUUUUUCUGAAAAAAAAUAAAUGAAAAAAAAAAUUAAAAAAAACGAAAAAAAAUAAAAAAUGAAAAAAAUAAAUAAAUAAAUAAAUAAAUAAAUCAAAUAAAUCAAAUAAAUAAAUAAAAUAUAACAAAUUUUUUUGGACUUGGG
rnacentral:lncRNA from 1 species